rnacentral:rRNA from 1 species
UACGUAGGUGGCAAGCGUUGUCCGGAAUUAUUGGGCGUAAAGCGCGCGCAGGCGGUUUCUUAAGUCUGAUGUGAAAGCCCCCGGCUCAACCGGGGAGGGUCAUUGGAAACUGGGAAACUCGAGUGCAGAAGAGGAAAGUGGAAUUCCAAGUGUAGCGGUGAAAUGCGUAGAGAUCAGCAAGAAUACCCGUGGCGAAGGCGGCCCCCUGGGCCGAACCUGACGCUGAGGAGCGAAAGCGUGGGGAGCGAACAGG